rnacentral:rRNA from 1 species
GAUAACUACUGGAAACGGUGGCUAAUACCGCAUAACGUCGCAAGACCAAAGAGGGGGACCUUCGGGCCUCUUGCCAUCAGAUGUGCCCAGAUGGGAUUAGCUUGUUGGUGAGGUAACGGCUCACCAAGGCGACGAUCCCUAGCUGGUCUGAGAGGAUGACCAGCCACACUGGAACUGAGACACGGUCCAGACUCCUACGGGAGGCAGCAGUGGGGAAUAUUGCACAAUGGGCGCAAGCCUGAUGCAGCCAUGCCGCGUGUAUGAAGAAGGCCUUCGGGUUGUAAAGUACUUUCAGCGGGGAGGAAGGUGUUGUGGUUAAUAACCGCAGCAAUUGACGUUACCCGCAGAAGAAGCACCGGCUAACUCCGUGCCAGCAGCCGCGGUAAUACGGAGGGUGCAAGCGUUAAUCGGAAUUACUGGGCGUAAAGCGCACGCAGGCGGUCUGUCAAGUCGGAUGUGAAAUCCCCGGGCUCAACCUGGGAACUGCAUUCGAAACUGGCAGGCUUGAGUCUUGUAGAGGGGGGUAGAAUUCCAGGUGUAGCGGUGAAAUGCGUAGAGAUCUGGAGGAAUACCGGUGGCGAAGGCGGCCCCCUGGACAAAGACUGACGCUCAGGUGCGAAAGCGUGGGGAGCAAACAGGAUUAGAUACCCUGGUAGUCCACGCCGUAAACGAUGUCUACUUGGAGGUUGUGCCCUUGAGGCGUGGCUUCCGGAGCUAACGCGUUAAGUAGACCGCCUGGGGAGUACGGCCGCAAGGUUAAAACUCAAAUGAAUUGACGGGGGCCCGCACAAGCGGUGGAGCAUGUGGUUUAAUUCGAUGCAACGCGAAGAACCUUACCUGGUCUUGACAUCCACGGAAGUUUUCAGAGAUGAGAAUGUGCCUUCGGGAACCGUGAGACAGGUGCUGCAUGGCUGUCGUCAGCUCGUGUUGUGAAAUGUUGGGUUAAGUCCCGCAACGAGCGCAACCCUUAUCCUUUGUUGCCAGCGGUUAGG